rnacentral:rRNA from 1 species
UACAGAGGGUGCGAGCGUUGUUCGGAAUUACUGGGCGUAAAGCGCGUGUAGGCGGUUAAGUAAGUCAGAUGUGAAAUCCCAAGGCUCAACUUUGGAAUUGCAUUUGAAACUACUUGGCUAGAGUGUGGUAGAGGAUGGCGGAAUACCUAGUGUAGAGGUGAAAUUCGUAGAUAUUAGGUAGAACACCGGUGGCGAAGGCGGCCAUCUGGGCCACAACUGACGCUGAGACGCGAAAGCGCGGGGAUCAAACAGG